rnacentral:rRNA from 1 species
AAUGAACGCUGGCGGCAGGCCUAACACAUGCAAGUCGAGCGAGCGGCGGACGGGUGAGUAAUGUAUGGGGACUGCCCGAUAGAGGGGGAUAACUACUGGAAACGAUAGCUAAUACCGAAUCAUAUAGGAUAACCACAAUGGGAUUAGCUAGUAGGUGAGGUAAUGGCUCACCUAGGCGACGCUCCCUCGCUGGUCUGAGAGGAUAAUCAGCCCCACUGGGAGUGAGACACGGCCCAAACUCCUCCGGAGGCAGCAGUGGGGAAUAUUGCACAAUGGGCGCAAGCCUGAUGCAGCCAUGCGGCGUGUAUUAAGAAGGCCCUAGGGUUGUAAAGUACUUUCAGUCGGGAGGCGUUACCGACAGAAGAAGCACCGGCUAACUCCGUGCCAGCAGCCGCGGUAAUAC